rnacentral:rRNA from 1 species
AGCGAACGCUGGCGGCAGGCCUAACACAUGCAAGUCGAACGAACCUUUCGGGGUUAGUGGCGGACGGGUGAGUAACACGUGGGAACGUGCCUUUAGGUUCGGAAUAACUCAGGGAAACUUGUGCUAAUACCGAAUGUGCCCUUCGGGGGAAAGAUUAAUCGCCUUUAGAGCGGCCCGCGUCUGUUUAGCUAGUUGGUUGAGGUAAUGGCUCACCAAGGCGACGAUCAGUAGCUGGUCUGAGAGGAUGAUCAGCCACAUUGGGACUGAGACACGGCCCAAACUCCUACGGGAGGCAGCAGUGGGGAAUCUUGCGAAAUGGGCGAAAGCAUGACGCAGCCAUGCCGCGUGAAUGAUGAAGGUCUUAGGAUUGUAAAAUUCUUUCACCGGGGACGAUAAUGACGGUACCCGGAGAAGAAGCCCCGGCUAACUUCGUG